UUUCCGUAGGUGAACCUGCGGAAGGAUCAUUAACACUAAUCCACAACUACUCAACCAAGCCUAAAGUUGCAGCAGUAGUACAGCCAGCGCAAGCCGGCAGUGCGAUGUUGCAACCUCAACAAAACUAAUCAAACAAAGGACUCUAACUAAGUCAUUCAAUAAAACCAAAUUCUCAACGAUGGAUAUCUUGGUUCCC
rnacentral:misc_RNA from 1 species